AGCAGCCGCGGUAAUUCCAGCUCCAAUAGCGUAUAUUAAAGUUGUUGCAGUUAAAAAGCUCGUAGUUGAGUUUCGGGGUCAGUAGGUUGGUCGUGCCACAGGUAUGUACUGGCUUCACUGAUUCCUCCUUCUUGAAGAACUGUGAUGCCAUUAAUUUGGUGUUGCAGGGAAACAGGACUGUUACUUUGAAAAAAUUAGAGUGUUUAAAGCAGGCUAACGCUUGAAUGCAUUAGCAUGGAAUAAUGAAAUAGGACGUGGAUCCUAUUUUGUGGUUUCUAGGAUUAACGUAAUGAUUAAUAGGGAUAGUUGGGGGCAUUAGUAUUCAAUUGUCAGAGGUGAAAUUCUUGGAUUUAUUGAAGACUAACUACUGCGAAAGCAUUUGCCAAGGAUGUUUUCAUUAAUCAAGAACGAAAGUUAGGGGAUCGAAGACGAUCAGAUACCGUCGUAGUCUUAACCAUAAACUAUGCCGACUAGGGAUCGGAUGAUGUAAUUUUUAAUGA
rnacentral:rRNA from 1 species